rnacentral:rRNA from 1 species
GACGAACACUGGCGGCGUGCUUAACACAUGCAAGUCGAACGAUGAACUUGGAGCUUGCUCUGGGGGAUUAGUGGCGAACGGGUGAGUAACACGUGAGUAACCUGCCCUGGACUCUGGGAUAACUUCGAGAAAUCGGAGCUAAUACCGGAUAGGACCUUGCACCGCAUGGUGUGGGGUGGAAAGUUUUUCGGUUUGGGAUGGACUCGCGGCCUAUCAGCUUGUUGGUGAGGUAAUGGCUCACCAAGGCGUCGACGGGUAGCCGGCCUGAGAGGGUGACCGGCCACAGUGGGACUGAGACACGGGCCAGACUCUUACGGGAGGCAGCAGUGGGGAAUAUUGCACAAUGGGCGCAAGCCUGAUGCAGCAACGCCGCGUGCGGGAUGACGGCCUUCGGGUUGUAAACCGCUUUUAGUAGGGAAGAAGCCUUCGGGUGACGGUACCUGCAGAAAAAGGACCGGCUAACUACGUGCCAGCCGCCGCCGUAAGAC